rnacentral:rRNA from 1 species
UUUUAUUUGAGAGUUUGAUCCUGGCUCAGGAUGAACGCUGGCGGCGUGCCUAACACAUGCAAGUUGAGCGAUUUACUUCGGUAAAGAGCGGCGGACGGGUGAGUAACGCGUGGGUAACCUACCCUGUACACACGGAUAACAUACCGAAAGGUAUGCUAAUACGGGAUAAUAUAUUUGAGAGGCAUCUCUUGAAUAUCAAAGGUGAGCCAGUACAGGAUGGACCCGCGUCUGAUUAGCUAGUUGGUAAGGUAACGGCUUACCAAGGCGACGAUCAGUAGCCGACCUGAGAGGGUGAUCGGACUCAUUGGACCUGACACACGGUCCAAACUCCUACGGGAGGCAGCAGUGGGGAAUAUUGCACAAUGGGCGAAAGCCUGAUGCAGCAACGCCGCG